CUGUCUGACAGAAGCAGGAGGGAUAGAGAUGGGAUAAGAUUGGCAGCUGCAAUCUGAUCAUGCCUAUGGUUCCUGUCAGUCAACUCAUACCUGAGUAUUACCCCCACAGUCUGAGGAUUCUAAAGUCAGAAGAUGUCAUUUCAUUGUUUACUCGUUUCCUGUCCUGCCUACUUUUCCUUCAGGUGCUUUAUCAAAUGUGGGGAAGAAAACUUUGUUAUCAUUUUUCUCUUACGAUUGGACCAUGCUGAGUAGCACAAACGUAUUUCACAUUAAUUGUCCACAUUAAAUCAAAACAAACUCUGUCAAAAGCUAAGCCUAUUCGCUGCGAUUUUCAUUUCAUUUUGAAAGGAGCGACUUCUAUAGAAAAUAGUCUGUAUUUGUUCUCCUUUUCCCUCCUCUCCACAGGAUGAGGAAUCACAAGCUGAAAUCUCCUGUAAAUAUACCAUCAUUACCCUGAAGCUCCAGUUGUCUCUGGAAUAAUGAACUCCUGUCUUCUGCAGGUAUUUGUACUGGCUGCUGAGACAGACAGAAAUCUACCGAAUAGGAUCAAAUGAACUAUUGCUCUCUGGGUGUCUCUUUCCUCUCUCUGUCUUUGAAUUAAUUUCUGUCAGCCUCUAUAUCAGCUUCCCCCAACCCCAUCCUUUCUUGCUCCCAGCCCCCUUUCUCCCAUUUUCCUCCUUUCUUAUCCUGCUCUUUUUAAGUUUAUAGUUAUCUCCCAUAAGUCCAUAUGCCAAGAUUACUGCUAGGUCCAUUGUAAACAAAACUUGUUAACAUUGAAGGUUAAAAAUGGCCUGUAUUCCUAGCACUCAGAAAAUAGUUGUUGAAGGAAUGAGUUCAGAUCCACCCUCAGUAACAUAGACCUCAAUAUUGACCUGGGUGAGAUCAUCUCAUAUGAAAUAAACCAUUGCAGGAAGAAUUCAAGUUGGAUAUUCAAAGGAGAAGCCUAAAUAACCAAUGUAUCAUGUAUUUAGAAGCCAAGAAUGAAGACUCAUCCCAGCAGUAUGACCCCUCACCUGAGAUGUGGACUUGAAUUUUCUUCCUGUGGCACAGCAGUCAUGGACUGACUUACAGCAAGCAGACAUAUAGAAUUAAGCUCUCCUACUAAAGCAGAAACCAACAUAAGACAAAAACCAAAAUAGCCGAACCAACAAA
rnacentral:sRNA from 1 species